CCUACGGGUGGCAGCAGUGAGGAAUAUUGGUCAAUGGGCGAGAGCCUGAACCAGCCAAGUCGCGUGAGGGAGUACUGCCCUAUGGGUUGUAAAUCUCUUUUGUCGGGGAGCAAAAGCCUCACGUGUCCGGCUGCGAGAGUACCCGAAGAAUAAGCAUCGGCUAACUCCGUGCCAGCAGCCGCGGUAAUACGGAGGAUGCGAGCGUUAUCCGGAUUUAUUGGGUUUAAAGGGUGCGAAGGCGGAUUUUUAAGUCAGCGGUAAAAUCGUGGGGCUCAACCCCAUCCAGCCGUUGAAACUGGGGUGCUAGAGUGUGCGAGCGGUAUGCGGAAUGCGUGGUGUAGCGGUGAAAUGCAUAGAUAUCACGCAGAACCCCGAUUGCGAAGGCAGCAUACCGGUGCACAACUGACGCUCAGGCACGAAAGCGUGGGUAUCGAACAGGAUUAGAUACCCGAGUAGUC
rnacentral:rRNA from 1 species